UUGGCUGGGGUCGUAAUGCCUUC
rnacentral:snRNA from 1 species